GUGAAAGUGGCUGCUCUGAGGAAGUAGCUGGGUACGUGGAUACCACUGCCUCUUCAUUCGCCAUGAAGCCAAGUCCUUAAUGGUCGCUAGGGUCAGAAAUUGGAAAGACAAGAGGAAAGAGUACAAGCUGUGGCCUACCUCUCAACUUUCUUAUCUUCCAGUGUUUGAAGCCCAUGGCAUUCUGAGAGUACUAACUGCUGCUUCACUGUCACCAUUUGGAUGUUCUGAUUUCCUCUUACUGGCCUGCUUUAACCUGGAGCCAUUCAGGGAAGAGCCUUGGAAACAUGAAAUACUUGUAACGCCCUCGAACAUAAGUGUGCAUACUGAAUUUACAUUUAUAAAAGUAUCGUGCGUGUGUGUGUGUGUGUGCGUGUGUGUGUGUGUGUGUGUGUGUGUCUGGGGAUUGAACCUAGUGCCUCACACAUACUACUCAAGUGCUUAACCCCUGAGCUACGUCCCCAGCCCUUUAUUUUAUAUUCUUAAACAGGAUCUGGCUAAGUGGCCCAGGCUGGCCUCAAACUUGUGAUCUUCCUGGCUCAGCUUCUCAAGUAGCUGAAAUUGCAGUUGUGCACCACCAUGCCCUGCAGACAUGUGGUUAAAUGAUCCUCUGCUGAAGACUCAAAUAGUUGACUGUGCUCACAAUGGUCCAUCACACCAAUGGGGAGAAGCACCAGAGUCCACCUUGUGGUCCGGGAAGGUAACCAGUGAAGGAGGGGAGAUCAGUGUACCCUUGGCCAAGGCCUUCUGUGUUGAUCUGACACACUGUGAUCCUGUCUUCAUUAUUGGGGUAGACGUGCUCUACACGCAUUACAAAAUUUGGGUAUUGCACCAUGGAAUAAAAUGAGGUGAAGUUCUGGUUAUAAGUUUAUCUUAGUUUAAUAUUUGGUGUUAAUGACUCUCAUAGCUAAAAUAAUCCUGCAAAGAAUUAUGGAUUCAAAUUGAAGAGUUAACUUUACUUACUGAGUAUUAAUUUUUCAGUCCACCCACCAAUUAUAAAAAAUUCAUAUUGCUGGAUGUGGUGGCGCACACCUGUAAUCCCAGCACUCAGGAGGUUGAGGCAGGAGGAUUACCAUGAGUUUGAGGCCAGCCUGGGCUACAAAGGGAGACCCUGCCUCAAAAAACCAAAAAAAAAAAAAUUUAUAUUGAAAUUUAAGUAGC
rnacentral:lncRNA from 1 species